ACGGGUUACGGGUCACAUUCCGGGCGCGCACGUGCGCUCCGUUUCGGUGGCUGACUUCCCACCCGCUGUGGCUGAGCUCGCGACCGUACGCUUCCGAGCUCUACCCGUCUCACCCCGCCCGACCGACCUCGUCGCCGGCGAUGGCUUCCGCGGUGGCCGCUUCAACCGCCACGCGGUUCCUCCCGCAUCUCCCGGCCACGUGGCUCCGUCGCGCGCGCGUGACGCUCCUUCCGUCUCCGCUCCCAUGGCGGUCUCUCGCGGUCACGGUGGCCGCCGCGUCGCGGCGCCCUGGGGAUGGGGAAGGCGGGGGGCGGGGGAGGACGCGGAGGCGGCGCGCCAGGGGUGCGGAGCAGGAGGAAGGCGUUUCACUCAGCUCCGAAAAGGAGACAGUAAAUCAUACUCCAGGUGCUCAAACCAAGGGCACGGAGCCUGUACUGGAGUCCAGCACGACCGGGAAAGGUUCGGCCAUUAGAAGGGUCACACUAGUGAUUCUCGCUGCAGUGCUUUUUGGAAUUAGCAUUGCUUUGAGGGAUGGAGCUGAAAAGGCAUCGGAGUAUUUUGCUGGGUACUUAUUGGAACAGAGUUUGUCGGUGGACAAUCUCUUUGUUUUUGUUCUGGUUUUCAAGUAUUUCAAAGUGCCAAAGGAAUACCAGAACCGAGUACUUUCUUAUGGUAUUGCUGGAGCAGUGGUCUUUCGGGCUGUGAUGAUUGUCCUUGGAGUAGCUACCAUUCAGAAAUUUGAGGCGGUGAACCUGCUGUUGGCUUUGAUCCUACUAUUCACUUCUUACAAGCUAUUUGCUGAAGAAGAAGAAGAAUCUGAUCUAUCCGAUAACUUCAUUGUGAAAACAUGCCGAAAGUUCAUUCCAGUCACUGAUUAUUAUGAUGAUGACCAGUUUUUCACUAGUCAAGAUGGCUUAUGGAAAGCCACACCAUUACUCUUGACUUUGGCAGUGAUUGAGCUGAGUGAUAUUGCUUUCGCUAUUGACUCAAUACCAGCAGUCUUCGGCGUCACAAGGGAUCCACUUAUAAUACUAUCAUCAAAUAUUUUUGCUAUUUCUGGUUUGCGGUCACUGUACGUGCUCAUUUCUGAAAGCAUGGCCGAGUUGGAGUAUCUACAGCCUGCUAUUGGUGUCGUUUUGGGCUUCAUAGGGACAAAGAUGAUCUUUGACUUUUUUGGUUAUCAUAUUCCAACAGAAGCUUCACUUGCUAUUGUUACCACCUGUCUUAGCGGAGGUGUCAUAUUAAGUCUUAGGAAAGCAUCAAAAGAGGAGGGGGACAAGUAGACAGAUGCAACGACCCGCGCAGGUAAAAGGAAUGGAUCAGCUUGUUGCAUUUUCUGACAGAUAGUCAAGCUAUGAAAGAAAUGAUAAUGAACACUUAGAAGCCAGUGAGCAAGAAUCAUGCCAAGUAUCAACCAUGUUUGAAACUGACAAGGACUUAGCGUACGUCAUACACUGUUCAUGUUUGGAAUUAGGAGGCCUUGAAGACAUCUGCAAUUCGCAUAACACCCAUGCUGCACUAGUGGUAGCCUCCACUACUUAGGUGACUUGGAAGCAGUUCAGCUGACAGCUGUGAGUAUGUGACCUCAGUAUAGAAUGACAGAUGCGAUCAGGACAUGACAUUGGUGCCUGAUCCUGAUCUGGAAGUUCCAUCACCUUGGUUCUGAACCAAAAGGUUUUGGGUGGUUGCCAAUCGAAGACUGCAGGGCGAAAACAUAGGAAUCCUGUCCUUGUAAUGUCUGUUGCUUGUUAAGCUAGCACAUAGAGUACAUUCUGAACAUGAUGGGCAAUGAGCUACAAUUUACAGUGUAACUCAAACAAUAGUAUGCUCCAGCUUAAUACAUUACAACAAUAUGAAUUUUUAUCAUUAUAUUUCAUCCUUGUA